rnacentral:rRNA from 1 species
GGGUCAGUAGGUCGGUCGUGCCACCGGUACGUACUGGUCUCACUGAUUCCUCCUUCCUGAAGAACCGUAAUGCCAUUAAUCUGGUGUUGCGGGGAAACAGGACUGUUACUUUGAAAAAAUUAGAGUGUUUAAAGCAAGCUAACGCUUGAACACAUUAGCAUGGAAUAAUGAAAUAGGACGAUCGAUCCUAUUUUGUUGGUUUCUAGGAUUGACGUA